AAAUACAACUUUCAGCAACGGAUCUCUUGGCUCUCGCAUCGAUGAAGAACGCAGCGAAAUGCGAUAAGUAAUGUGAAUUGCAGAAUUCAGUGAAUCAUCGAAUCUUUGAACGCACCUUGCGCUCCUUGGUAUUCCGAGGAGCAUGCCUGUUUGAGUGUCA
rnacentral:rRNA from 1 species